rnacentral:rRNA from 1 species
GACGAACGCUGGCGGCGUGCUUAACACAUGCAAGUCGAACGGAAAGGCCCUGCUUUUGUGGGGUGCUCGAGUGGCGAACGGGUGAGUAACACGUGAGCAACCUGCCCUUGACUUUGGGAUAACUUCAGGAAACUGGGGCUAAUACCGGAUAGGAGCUCCUGCUGCAUGGUGGGGGUUGGAAAGUUUCGGCGGUUGGGGAUGGACUCGCGGCUUAUCAGCUUGUUGGUGGGGUAGUGGCUUACCAAGGCUUUGACGGGUAGCCGGCCUGAGAGGGUGACCGGCCACAUUGGGACUGAGAUACGGCCCAGACCCCUACGGGAGGCAGCAGUGGGGAAUAUUGCACAAUGGGCGGAAGCCUGAUGCAGCAACGCCGCGUGCGGGAUGACGGCCUUCGGGUUGUAAACCGCUUUCGCCUGUGACGAAGCGUGAGUGACGGUAAUGGGUAAAGAAGCACCGGCUAACUACGUG